AGCGAACGCUGGCGGCAGGCUUAACACAUGCAAGUCGAACGCCCCGCAAGGGGAGUGGCAGACGGGUGAGUAACACGUGGGAACGUACCCUUUGGUUCGGAAUAACUUGGGGAAACUCAAGCUAAUACCGGAUAAGCCCUUAUGGGGAAAGGUUUACUGCCGAAGGAUCGGCCCGCGUCUGAUUAGAGAGUUGGGGAGGUAAUGGCUCACCAAGGCGACGAUCAGUAGCGGGUCUGAGAGGAUGAUCAGCCACAAUGGGACUGAGACACGGCCCAGACUCCUACGGGAGGCAGCAGUGGGGAAUAUUGGACAAUGGGGGCAACCCUGAUCCAGCCAUGCCGCGUGAGUGAUGAAGGCCUUAGGGUUGUAAAGCUCUUUUACCCGGGACGAUAAUGGCUGUACCGGGAGAAUAAGCCCCGGCUAACUUCGUGCCAGCCGCCGCUGUAA
rnacentral:rRNA from 1 species